CCUGUAUCUCUGGAAAGGGGGCUGAUCGCCUAAACGGUUUUUACCCCUUGUGUGCAAAACGGUCCGUUACAUUUAGUGCCUCUAUGCAGAAAAUGGAGACACCAACCCAGGAAGUACCUACAGUGGCUGUCUGAGUGAUAUGAGCACUGCUUUUUCUCUGAAAAGACGGUGUUUACAUAAAAAUGCUUGCAAGGACUGACUAUAUUUACCAGAACAACUACAUUAAACUGCAGUAGGAUUCUUUCUACCCAUUACACUAAUAUCCCAACACUAGGGAUGUGUGUGGACAAAAAAAUUGGUUUGGUUCGGUUUGGAAAUUCGGGUAAGUAAAAAAAAUUGUCUGCUUCAGCAAUUAGGACCAAUGGCAUUCAUUUCAGUUCGGCAUUUCAGAAAUUCGGGACUUCGGCAAUUCAGCAAUUUGGAAC